GGAUGAAUAUUGGUCAAUGGACGCAAGUCUGAACCAGCCAUGCCGCGUGAAGGAUGAAGGCCUUCUGGGUUGUAAACUUCUUUUAUCUGGGAAGAAAACUACGGUUUCUACUGUAGCCGACGGUACCAGAGGAAUAAGCACCGGCUAACUCCGUGCCAGCAGCCGCGGUAAUACGGAGGGUGCAAGCGUUAUCCGGAUUUACUGGGUUUAAAGGGUGUGUAGGCGGACAUGUAAGUCAGUGGUGAAAUCU
rnacentral:rRNA from 1 species